GACGGAGGGUGCAAGCGUUGUUCGGAAUUACUGGCGUAAAGCGCGGGCAGGUGGCCUUUUAAGUCCUUUGUGAAAUUCCGGAGCUCAACUCCGGAUGUGCAUAGGAUACUGGAAGGCUAGAGACUGGUAGAGGCGAAGCGGAAUUCCUGGUGUAGCGGUGGAAUGCGUAGAUAUCAGGAGGAACACCUAUUGCGAAGGCAGCUCGCUGGGACGUUACUGACGCUGAGACGCGAAAGCGUGGGGAGCAAACAGG
rnacentral:rRNA from 1 species